CCUACGGGGGGCAGCAGUGGGGAAUAUUGGGCAAUGGAGGGAACUCUGACCCAGCAACGCCGCGUGAAGGAUGAAGGUUUUCGGAUUGUAAACUUCUGUCGCGAGGGACGAAGAAUGACGGUACCUCGUAAGAAAGCCCCGGCUAACUACGUGCCAGCAGCCGCGGUAAUACGUAGGGGGCGAGCGUUGUCCGGAAUGACUGGGCGUAAAGGGAGUGUAGGCGGCUGUGCAAGUUAGAUGUGAAAUCCCAUGGCUUAACCAUGGAACUGCAUCUAAAACUGCAUAGCUGGAGUGCAGGAGAGGUGAGUGGAAUUCCUAGUGUAGCGGUGGAAUGCGUAGAUAUUAGGAGGAACACCAGAGGCGAAGGCGACUCACUGGACUGUAACUGACGCUGAGGCUCGAAAGCGUGGGGAGCAAACAGGAUUAGAUACCCUGGUA
rnacentral:rRNA from 1 species